rnacentral:rRNA from 1 species
GGUGAAUGCUGGCGGCGUGCCUAACACAUGCAAGUCGAGCGGUAACAGGGGUAGUUUACUACCUGCUGACGAGCGGCGGACGGCUGAGUAACGCGUGGGAACGUGCCCCAAAGUGAGGAAUAACUGCCCGAAAGGGUGGCUAAUGCCGCAUAUGAUCUUCGGAUUAAAGGAUUUAUCCGCUUUGGGAGCGGCCCGCGUUAGAUUAGGUAGUUGGUAGGGUAAUGGCCUACCAAGCCGACGAUCUUUAGCUGGUCUGAGAGGAUGAUCAGCCAGACUGGGACUGAGACACGGCCCAGACUCCUACGGGAGGAAGCAGUGAGGAAUCUUCCACAAUGGGCGAAAGCCUGAUGGAGCAACGCCGCGUGAAGGAUGAAGGCCCUCGGGUUGUAAACUUCUUUUAUAAGUGAAGAAUAUGACGGUAACUUAUGAAUAAGCACCGGCUAACUACGUGCCAGCCGCCGCCGUAAACC